CCUUACUAUAAGUGUUGUCUAAAUUACUGGUAGAAUACUCUUCGGUAACACCAGAAACGCGAACGUUAGUCGUCUUAAACAGGCGUAAAGGGUGAGUAGGCAGCUUACAAAUUUUUAAAUUAAGCUAAGCUAUGUAAAUUAAUAGAGAAAAAAUAAAAGAAUCAAAGAACCUAUUAAAAUAUAACCUUUGCCUAGCUUUGCUUUUUUUACCUUUGCUUUUGACCUAAUGCCUUUAUUUCUAUUUAUACCUUUGCUUCUCCCCUCUUUCGCCUUUGUCUGGACUGCCUCAAGCAGAAAAGCAAAGGUCGGGGUUAUAACUGGAGCAAAGGUUGACUAUCUUUCGUUAUGACUUUGUUAACCUUUCGAAUUGACUUUAAAAUCACCUUCGCUCGCCUUUGUCUUAAUUCCGUAAACGAGGAAAGCAAAGGAAGUAUGACGAGAGCCCUAAUUUAUAAACUGCAUAAACUCAAAACUCAACCCAGAAAAUAAAAGCUAGAAUCAUAAUGGAGAUAAACCAAAUAAUACUUAUGUGUAAGGAUGAUAUCUAAAGAUACUAAGUAGAAUA
rnacentral:rRNA from 1 species